CUCCGGUGAUCCCGCCGGACCUGACUGCUAUCGGAUUGGUACUAAGCCAUGCGAGUCAUUGUAGCAAUACAAGGCGGACGGCUCAGUAACACGUAGUCAACCUAACUCGUGGACGUGGAUAACCUCGGGAAACUGAGAAUAAACCACGAUAGAUCAUAGUGCCUGGAAUGGCUUAUGGUCCAAACAGUUUACUGCCAUGGGAUGGGACUGCGGCCUAUCAGCUUGUUGGUGAGGUAAUGGCCCACCAAGGCGAUUACAGGUACGGGCUCUGAGAGGAGAAGCCCGGAGAUGGGUACUGAGACACGGACCCAGGCCCUAUGGGGCGCAGCAGGCGAGAAACCUUAGCAAUGUGCGAAAGCACGACUGGGUCAGUCCGAGUGAUUCCUGAUAAAGGAGUCUUUUGCUUGUCCUAAAAGCACAGGUGAAUAAGGGGUGGGCAAGUCUGGUGUCAGCCGCCGCGGUAAUACCAGCACCUCGAGUGGUCAGGACGUUUAUUGGGCCUAAAGCAUCCGUAGCCGGCUCUGCAAGUCUUCGGUUAAAUCCACCUGCUCAACAGAUGGGCUGCUGGAGAUACUACAGAGCUAGGGAGUGGGAGAGGCAGACGGUAUUCAGUGGGUAGGGGUAAAAUCCUCUGAUCCAUUGAGGACCACCAGUGGCGAAGGCGGUCUGCCAGAACACGUUCGACGGUGAGGGAUGAAAGCUGGGGGAGCAAACCGGAUUAGAUACCCGGGUAGUCCCAGCUGUAAACGAUGCAAACUCGGUGAUGCAUUGGCUUAUGGCCAAUGCAGUGCCGCAGGGAAGCCGUUAAGUUUGCCGCCUGGGAAGUACGGACGCAAGUCUGAAACUUAAAGGAAUUGGCGGGGGAGCA
rnacentral:rRNA from 1 species